CAGCCUGAUGCAGCGACGCCGCGUGAGGGAUGACGGCCUUCGGGUUGUAAACCUCUUUCAGCAGGGACGAAGCGCAAGUGACGGUACCUGUAGAAGAAGGACCGGCCAACUACGUGCCAGCAGCCGCGGUAAUACGUACGGUCCGAGCGUUGUCCGGAAUUACUGGGCGUAAAGAGCUCGUAGGUGGUUUGUCGCGUUGUUCGUGAAAACUCACAGCUUAACUGUGGGCGUGCGGGCGAUACGGGCAGACUUGAGUACUGCAGGGGAGACUGGAAUUCCUGGUGUAGCGGUGGAAUGCGCAGAUGUCAAGAGGAACACCGGUGGCGAAGGCGGGUCUCUGGGCAGUAACUGACGCUGAGGAGCGAAAGCGUGGGGAGCGAACAGGAUUAGAUACCCUGGUAGUCCACGCCGUAGACGGUGGGUACUAGGUGUGGGUUUCCUUCCUUGGGAUCCGUGCCGUAGCUGACGCAUUAAGUACCCCGCCUGGGGAGUACGGCCGCAAGGCUAAAACUCAGAGAAAUUGACGGGGGCCCGCACAAGCGGCGGAGCAUGUGGAUUAGUUCGAUGCAACGCGAAGAACCUUACCUGGGUUUGACAUGCACAGGACGUGCCUAGAGAUAGGUAUUCCCUUGUGGCCUGUG
rnacentral:rRNA from 1 species